rnacentral:ncRNA from 2 species
UCCGGGAGGAUUGACAGAUUGAGAGCUCUUUCUUAUGUCCGUUCUUAGUUGGUGGAGCGAUAUGCAUGGUUCAUUACGGUAACGAACAAGACUCUAGCCUAUUAAAUAGGUGCCUGGUUCUCCGCACCUUACACCCUUCUUACCUGGGACAAGCUGCUCCUAGCCGCACGAAACAGAGCAAUAACAGGUCUGUGAUGCCCUUAGAUGU